rnacentral:rRNA from 1 species
UACGUAGGGGGCAAGCGUUGUUCGGAAUUACUGGGCGUAAAGGGCGCGUAGGCGGCACGGCAAGUCAGGAGUGAAAGCCCUGGGCUCAACCCAGAAACUGCUUUUGAAACUGCCGAGCUAGAGUGCGGAAGGGGCAACUGGAAUUCCCAGUGUAGCGGUGAAAUGCGCAGAUAUCAGGAGGAACACCGGUGGCGAAGGCGGAUCUCUGGGCCUUACCUGACGCUCAGGCGCGAAAGCUAGGGUAGCGAACGGG